rnacentral:lncRNA from 1 species
AUCUGUGAUUGGCUGGACAGGAGCAUCUCAUGAUCGAGCGUCACACGUCACACGUCACCUGGAACUGAUCCACGACGAAUCGCGUCUAGUAGGAAAUCAACACUCCGGUGAGAAAGUUGGGAAGAUGGCUCUGGGAGACUGUUGGAAGCAGCUGUCGUGGUUCUACUACCAGUACCUGCUCGUCACGGCGCUCUACAUGCUGGAGCCCUGGGAGCGGACGGUGUUCAACUCUCUGCUGGUGUCUGUGGCCGGCAUGGCGGUCUACACCGGCUACGUCUUCAUGCCGCAGCACAUCAUGGCCAUCCUGCACUACUUUGAGGUGGUCCAAUGACGCGCUGACUCCGCCCAUGUGGCCGCCCACUACUCCUGUCUGUCUCCGCCUACCUGUCUGUCUCUCUGUCUGCGUGUCAUCUCCAGAGUUUUUGGGGGGUGAUUGUCUGCCUCGUCCCUUUUUACCAAAGCUUAUUAAAUAUCAACGGUCAAGCCCCGCCCACCCUGGCGGCUGCGGGGUUGUAAAGGCCACGCCCCCUGACUCCAUGUCGAGAGGCCAUGUUGGAUGUCUCCCCCCGGGACUGUUUGUCCUUCACUCCUGGGAUGGUGAUCGGGUGCAGUGGCGGGGCUGGAGGCGGAGCUUGGCACAGGAUCUCCAAAUGAUUGACAGCCAAAAAGCUGGAACUCGUCGGAGCCGGCCAGGAGCUCCAAGUGACGGCCUCACUGUCUGAUUCCCCGUUGAACCGAUCGAUCGAGACUAAAACUCCCAUCAGUCGCCUCACUGUCUGGCUGCUCAUGUCUUUCAGAUCCUUGUCAAUGAAAUUCUACAAAUAUUUAAAGACAAAAGCACGCAAAUCUGUAAUAUAUGUGUCUGUCAGCGCUCACUCUAAUGAGCCACGUUAACCAAAAAGUCCGGAUUCUCCACAGGUUUGAUGCCUCUGUUCAUUUUAGCAUUUCCUCUUUUCCUUGCGAGCUGCAGCAGCAGUAAAUAUGUGACUUUAUAUUCUCAGAAUUAUACUUUAUUGUUAUUAAAACAGAAAAAAAUAAUCAAACGUCUUCCUUGGUAUGAACAGCAGCCAAAAAUAAAAAAUGAAAAUAUUAUUUUUAAUAAUAUGACAGAAGAGGAAGACAAUCUUUGCAUUUUUUUGUGAUCUUAGUGAAGUUGGAAUCAGAAAAUAUUUGGCUGUUUUACAUCAUAAAUGGCUAAAACGAGUCACCGGUUGUAAAAAAAAAAAAAAAAAAAAGGAUUAUUUUUCUGUCAGUGAACUAAUCAGUCACCUGCAUUAGUU